rnacentral:rRNA from 1 species
AGCGAACGUUUGCGGCGGGCCUAACACAUGCAAGUCGAACGCACUAGCAAUAGUGAGUGGCGCACGGGUGCGUAACACGUGGGUAAUCAACCCUUCAGCCUGGGAUAACGACUCGAAAGGGUCGCUAAUACCGGAUACGGCGCGAGAGGCUUCGGCUUCUCACGAGAAAGCCACGCAAGGGGCACUGAAGGACGAGCCUGCGGCCCAUCAGCUAGUUGGUGAGGUAAGAGCUCACCAAGGCUAAGACGGGUAGCUGGUCUGAGAGGAUGAUCAGCCACACUGGAACUGAGACACGGUCCAGACCCCUACGGGAGGCAGCAGUGGGGAAUAUUGGACAAUGGGCGAAAGCCUGAUCCAGCAAUGCCGCGUGAGUGAUGAAGGCCUUAGGGUUGUAAAGCUCUUUUACCAGGGAUGAUAAUGACAGUACCUGGAGAAUAAGCUCCGGCUAACUCCGUGCCAGCAGCCGCGGUAAUGUACAGUGU